GGGUUGUGAGGUUAAGCGACUAAGCGUACACGGUGGAUGCCUAGGCAAUCAGAGGCGAUGAAGGACGUGCUAAUCUGCGAUAAGCGUCGGUAAGGUGAUAUGAACCGUUACAACCGACGAUUUCCGAAUGGGGAAACCCAGUGCAAUUCGUUGCACUAUCGUUUGAUGAAUACAUAGUCAAACGAAGCGAACCGGGGGAACUGAAACAUCUCAGUACCCCGAGGAAAAGAAAUCAACCGAGAUUCCCCUAGUAGCGGCGAGCGAACGGGGAGCAGCCCAGAGUCUUAAUCAGCAUUAGCAUCAGGAGAACGGUCUGGAAAGUCCGGCAGUAAAGGGUGAUAGCCCCGUAUCCGAAGGUGUUAGUGUUGUGAACUCGACGAGUAGGGCGGGACACGUGUUAUCCUGUCUGAAUAUGGGGGGACCAUCCUCCAAGGCUAAAUACUCCUGAUUGACCGAUAGUGAACCAGUACCGUGAGGGAAAGGCGAAAAGAACCCCGGCGAGGGGAGUGAAAUAGAACCUGAAACCGUGUACGUACAAGCAGUGGGAGCCCCAUCACUCAAGUGCCUCGGCAAUUGAGUGAGGGUGUAAAACCAUCACAAUAACAGCGCAGGAUUUGCCAACAAGAUUGGCUGAUUUUUUCAAGCCGCAGCGCAGUGGACAUCGAAGUCCAUGAGCAGCGGAAGUUAAAAAAUCGGGCAAGAUUGGCCGCAAAGCCAAGCGGGACAUUUGAGGAUGGGGUGACUGCGUACCUUUUGUAUAAUGGGUCAGCGACUUAUAUUCUGUAGCAAGGUUAACCGUAUAGGGGAGCCGUAGGGAAACCGAGUCUUAACUGGGCGAAUAAGUUGCAGGGUAUAGACCCGAAACCCGGUGAUCUAGCCAUGGGCAGGUUGAAGGUUGGGUAACACUAACUGGAGGACCGAACCGACUAAUGUUGAAAAAUUAGCGGAUGACUUGUGGCUGGGGGUGAAAGGCCAAUCAAACCGGGAGAUAGCUGGUUCUCCCCGAAAGCUAUUUAGGUAGCGCCUUGUGAACUCAUCUUCGGGGGUAGAGCACUGUUUCGACUAGGGGGUCAUCCCGACUUACCAACUCGAUGCAAACUACGAAUACCGAAGAAUGUUAUCACGGGAGACACACGGCGGGUGCUAACGUUCGUCGUGAAGAGGGAAACAACCCAGACCGCCAGCUAAGGUCCCAAAGUCAUAGUUAAGUGGGAAACGAAGUGGGAAGGCUCAGACAGCCAGGAUGUUGGCUUAGAAGCAGCCAUCAUUUAAAGAAAGCGUAAUAGCUCACUGGUCGAGUCGGCCUGCGCGGAAGAUGUAACGGGGCUAAACUAUGCACCGAAGCUGCGGCAGCGAACGUAUCACUUAAACUGAUUAAGUGAUACUCAAAUGUAUCAAAACGAUUGACGGAGCGAAGCGACGUCAAUGCGUCCAACAAAGUCGAGGCGGAAACGUCAGGCAGUCAGUUUAAGGAUACGUUCGUUGGGUAGGGGAGCGUUCUGUAAGCCUGUGAAGGUGUGCUGUGAGGCAUGCUGGAGGUAUCAGAAGUGCGAAUGCUGACAUAAGUAACGAUAAUGCGGGUGAAAAACCCGCACGCCGGAAGACCAAGGGUUCCUGUCCAACGUUAAUCGGGGCAGGGUGAGUCGACCCCUAAGGCGAGGCAGAAAUGCGUAGUCGAUGGGAAACGGGUUAAUAUUCCCGUACUGGUGAUAAUUGCGAUGGGGGGACGGAGAAGGCUAGGCUAUCCGGGCGACGGUUGUCCCGGUUUAAGGAUGUAGGCAGGUGAAUUAGGCAAAUCCGGUUCACUAUAUGCUGAGGUCCGAUGACGAGUCACUACGGUGAUGAAGUAGCUCAUGCCCCGCUUCCAGGAAAAGCCUCUAAGCUCUAGAUUAUCAUUAAUCGUACCCCAAACCGACACAGGUGGUCAGGUAGAGAAUACUCAGGCGCUUGAGAGAACUCGGGUGAAGGAACUAGGCAAAAUGGUGCCGUAACUUCGGGAGAAGGCACGCUGGCAUUAGGUGAAGUGAUUUACUCAUGGAGCUGAAGCCAGUCGCAGAUACCAGCUGGCUGCAACUGUUUAUUAAAAACACAGCACUGUGCAAACACGAAAGUGGACGUAUACGGUGUGACGCCUGCCCGGUGCUGGAAGGUUAAUUGAUGGGGUUAUCCGUAAGGAGAAGCUCUUGAUCGAAGCCCCAGUAAACGGCGGCCGUAACUAUAACGGUCCUAAGGUAGCGAAAUUCCUUGUCGGGUAAGUUCCGACCUGCACGAAUGGCGUAAUGAUGGCCAGGCUGUCUCCACCCGAGACUCAGUGAAAUUGAACUCGCUGUGAAGAUGCAGUGUACCCGCGGCAAGACGGAAAGACCCCGUGAACCUUUACUAUAGCUUGACACUGAACAUUGAGCCUUGAUGUGUAGGAUAGGUGGGAGGCUUCGAAGCGUGGACGCCAGUCUGCGUGGAGCCAACCUUGAAAUACCACCCUUUAAUGUUUGAUGUUCUAACGUUGCCCCGUUAUCCGGGGUGCGGACAGUGUCUGGUGGGUAGUUUGACUGGGGCGGUCUCCUCCCAAAGAGUAACGGAGGAGCACGAAGGUUGGCUAAGCAUGGUCGGACAUCAUGCGGUUAGUGCAAAGGCAUAAGCCAGCUUGACUGCGAGAGUGACGGCUCGAGCAGGUACGAAAGUAGGUCUUAGUGAUCCGGUGGUUCUGAAUGGAAGGGCCAUCGCUCAACGGAUAAAAGGUACUCCGGGGAUAACAGGCUGAUACCGCCCAAGAGUUCAUAUCGACGGCGGUGUUUGGCACCUCGAUGUCGGCUCAUCACAUCCUGGGGCUGAAGUAGGUCCCAAGGGUACGGCUGUUCGCCGUUUAAAGUGGUACGCGAGCUGGGUUUAGAACGUCGUGAGACAGUUCGGUCCCUAUCUGCCGUGGGCGUUGGAAGAUUGAAAGGGGCUGCUCCUAGUACGAGAGGACCGGAGUGGACGCACCACUGGUGUUCGGGUUGUCAUGCCAAUGGCAUUGCCCGGUAGCUAAGUGCGGAAGAGAUAACCGCUGAAAGCAUCUAAGCGGGAAACUUGCCUUGAGAUGAGUCUUCCCUGACUCUUUAAGAGUCCUAAAGGAACGUUUAAGACUAAGACGUUGAUAGGUUGGGUGUGUAAGCGUAGCGAUACGUUGAGCUAACCAAUACUAAUGAACCGUGAGGCUUAACCUGACAACACCGAAGGUGUUUUAG
rnacentral:rRNA from 1 species